CAGCAGCCGCGGGAAUACGAAGGGGGCUAGCGUUGUUCGGAAUUACUGGGCGUAAAGCGCACGUAGGCGGAUAUUUAAGUCAGGGGUGAAAUCCCGCAGCUCAACUGCGGAACUGCCUUUGAUACUGGGUAUCUUGAGUAUGGAAGAGGUUAGUGGAAUUGCGAGUGUAAAGGUGAAAUUCGUAGAUAUUCGCAGGAACACCAGUGGCGAAGGCGGCUAACUGGUCCAUAACUGACGCUGAGGUGCGAAAGCGUGGGGAGCAAACAGGAUUAGAUACCCCUGUAGUCCCUGUCUCUUAUAC
rnacentral:rRNA from 1 species